GAGACCGAUAGCGAACAAGUAGAGUGAUCGAAAGAUGAAAAGCACUUUGAAAAGAGAGUUAAACAGCACGUGAAAUUGUUGAAAGGGAAGCGCUUGAGACCAGACUCGGGCCGAGGCGAUCAGCGCGCCCGCCUCCAGGGCGCGUGCACUCGCUUCGGUUUCUCCGGGCCGGCAUCGGUUGGGGCGGCGGCAGGAAGGCCUCGGGAACGUGGCUUCCCCCUCGGGGGGAGUGUUAUAGCCCGGGGCGCAACGGCCGCCAGCCAGCCCGACCGUGGACCGCGCCUCGCUUUGCGGCGGGGCAAGGAUGCCGGCGUAAUGGUCCCCAGCGACCCGUCUUGAAACACGGACCAAGGAGUCUAACAUCUAUGCGAGUGUUUGGGUGGAAAACCCCGGCGCGUAAUGAAAGUGAACGGAGGUGGGAGCCCUUUCGACGGGGCGCACCAUCGACCGAUCCUGAUGUCUUCGGAUGGAUUCGAGUAGGAGCAUAGCUGUUGGGACCCGAAAGAUGGUGAACUAUGCCUGAAUAGGGUGAAGCCAGAGGAAACUCUGGUGGAGGCUCG
rnacentral:rRNA from 1 species